CAGUAACGGACGGGUGAGUAAUGUAUAAGAAUGAACGUUUAGGUAGGGUAUAACAUCAGGAAACUUUUGCUAAUCCCCUAUAGCGCAAAUUUAUUUGUUAAAGGUUUUUCGCCUAGACAUCAGCUUAUAUUUGAUUAGCUAGUUGGUAGGGUAAAGGCUUACCAAGGCUUCGAUCAAUAGCUAGUUUGAGAAAAUGAUUAGCCACACUGGAAUUGAGAUACGGAACAGACUCCUACGGGAGGCAGCAGUGAGGAAUAUUCCGCAAUGGGUGAAAGCUUGACGGAGCAAUGCCGCGUGGAGGAAGAAGGCUCUAGGGUUGUAAUCUCCUUUUGUCACUGAAGAAAGCAUGACGGUAUGUGACGAAUAAGCAACGGCUAAUUCUGUGCCAGCAGCCGCGGUAAUACAGGAGUUGCAAGCGUUAUCCGGAAUUAUUGGGCGUAAAGAGUUUGUAGGCUGUGAAAUGUGUUUGAUGUAAAAACUUAAAGCUUAACUUUAUUUUCGCAUUAAAAACUAUUUUGCUAGAAUAUAGUAGGGGUAAAGGGAAUUCCCAGUGUAGUAGUGAAAUACGUAGAUAUUGGGAGGAACACCGGUGGCGAAAGCGCUUUACUAGGCUAAUAUUGACGCUGAGAAACGAAAGCUAAGGGAGCAAAUCGGAUUAGAUACCCGAGUAGUCUUAGCCGUAAAUGUUGGAUAUUAGGUGGUGGUUUAUUCACUGCUGUAGCUAACGCGUUAAAUAUCCCGCCUGGGGAGUACGCUUGCAAAAGUGAAACUCAAAGGAAUUGAUGGGGAUCUGCACAAGCGGUGGAGCAUGUGGUUUAAUUCGAUGGUACACGAAGAACCUUACCAGGGUUUGACAUGUUAGGAAGUUUUCUGAAAGGAGAAUGUGCCGAAAGGAACCUAAACACAAGUGGUGCAUGGCUGUCGUCAGCUCGUGUUGUGAAAUGUUGGGUUAAGUCCCGUAACGAGCGCAACCCUUAUUCUUAGUUGAUUUUAUUCUUUAAGAAAACUGCUGACGUUAAGUCAGAGGAAGGUGGGGAUGAGGUCAAGUCAUCAUGCCCUUUAUAUCCUGGGCUACACACGUGCUACAAUGAUUAGGACAAUGAGUUGCUAGUUUGUAAAAAUAAGCUAAUCUCUUAAACUUAAUCUCAGUUCAGAUAAAAGACUGCAACUCGUCUUUUUGAAGGCGGAAUCGCUAGUAAUCGCCAAUCAUCUAUGUGGCGGUGAAUACGUUCUCAGAUCUUAUACACACCGCCCGUCACAGCUACGGAAUGGGCUGUGUCUGACGAUAUUAUUCUAACAUUUGAGGGAGAUAUCUAA
rnacentral:rRNA from 1 species